UAGGGAAUCUUCCACAAUGGGCGCAAGCCUGACCGAGCAACGCCGCGUGAGUGAAGAAGGUUUUCGGAUCGUAAAGCUCUGUUGUAAGUCAAGAACGAGUGUGAGAGUGGAAAGUUCACACUGUGACGGUAGCUUACCAGAAAGGGACGGCUAACUACGUGCCAGCAGCCGCGGUAAUACGUAGGUCCCGAGCGUUGUCCGGAUUUAUUGGGCGUAAAGCGAGCGCAGGCGGUUUGAUAAGUCUGAAGUUAAAGGCUGUGGCUCAACCAUAGUUCGCUUUGGAAACUGUCAAACUUGAGUGCAGAAGGGGAGAGUGGAAUUCCAUGUGUAGCGGUGAAAUGCGUAGAUAUAUGGAGGAACACCGGUGGCGAAAGCGGCUCUCUGGUCUGUAACUGACGCUGAGGCUCGAAAGCGUGGGGAGCGAACAGGAUUAGAUACCCUGGUAGUCCACGCCAUAAACGAUGAGUGCUAGGUGUUGGAUCCUUUCCGGGAUUCAGUGCCGCAGCUAACGCAUUAAGCACUCCGCCUGGGGAGUACGACCGCAAGGUUG
rnacentral:rRNA from 1 species